GCCGUUCAAUAUCGGUAAAUUACUUAGGCGUAAUGAGACGUAGGGCAGCGUGCUAAGUCAGCGUGGAAAUACUCCGGGCUUAAUCCUCGUAUUGACGCUUGGACUGGGCCAGCUUAGAGUGCUGGCAGAGGGAGGUGGAUACUACGCUGUAGCAGCUGAAAUACGUAGAUAUGUGGAGGGACACCCACUGGCGAAGGCAGCCUCCUUGGGCCGGCACUGACGCUCAUGCACGAAAGCGUGGGGAGCAAACAGGAUUAGAUACCCUGGUAGUGCACGCCCCCAAACGAUGUCGACUAGUUGUUGGGGAAGGUAACUUCCUUAGUAACGUAGCUAACGCGCGAAGUCGACCGCCUGGGGAGUACGGCCGCAAGGUUAAAACUCAAAGGAAUUGACGGGGACCCGCACAAGCGGUGGAUGAUGUGGAUUAAUUCGAUGCAACGCGAAAAACCUUACCUACCCUUGACAUGCUAGGAACCCUGCUGAGAGGUGGGGGUGCCCGAAAGGGAGCCUAGACACAGGUGCUGCAUGGCUGUCGUCAGCUCGUGUCGUGAGAUGUUGGGUUAAGUCCCGCAACGAGCGCAACCCUUGCCGCUAAUUGCCACCAUUAAGUUGGGCACUUUAGUGGGACUGCUGGUGACAAACCGGAGGAAGGUGGGGAUGACGUCAAGUCCUCAUGGCCCUUAUGGGUAGGGGUUCACACGUCAUACAAUGGCGCAUACAGAGGGGUGCGAAACCGCGAGGUGGAGCCAAUCCCAGAAAGUGCGUCGUAGUCCGGAUUGCAGUCUGCAACUCGACUGCAUGAAGUCGGAAUCGCUAGUAAUCGCGGAUCAGCAUGUCGCGGUGAAUACGUUCCCGGGUCUUGUACACACCCCCCGUCACACCAUGGGAGUGGGGUUCACCAGAAGCCGUUAGCCUAACCGCAAGGAGGGGGACGACCACGGUGAGCUUCAUGACUGGGGUGAAGUGUAACAAGGUAACC
rnacentral:rRNA from 1 species